rnacentral:lncRNA from 1 species
GCCAGCCUGAGGCAGAUGAGCUGCAGCCCCGCAGGGUCCCUUCUUCAGCAAGGAGGAUAGGGUGACAGCUGGGUCGUCUCUGCAGGACCGAAUGUGCCCUGCUGCAGAUCAUGAGAACUGAUUGAACUAGGUUCUGAGGGUGAGGAUCAAGAGCCAGCCCAUGAACCUCUGACUCGGUGAGUGAAGCUUCCGGCAGAACAUCCGGCCUGGCAUCCGAGGCGGCACUUAUCUGAAGCCUCUUAUAUGAGGAGGAUCUCAAAAGAAGCAGGGAGAGAGCCUUGGGAGAGGAACCUGGUGCCAGCCCUGGAUACAGAGAUGGAGUCGUGACGGUGUCGGGCCAGCCUGAGAAAUAGCAGGAGACCUGACAUGGCCUAGGGUGGGGCUCUAGGUGCUUGAUGAAAGUGAGAUGGAAGGAGUGCACCGUGGUGACUGCGGAGUCCUCAAAGCCACUGCGACCCUCACCUUUACCUCCUGUCAGCUGGUGAGCUUGGUAAGGUUGAAGAAAAAAAUCUCUUGGGGCCGAGCACGGUGGCUUAUGCCUGUAAUCCCAACACUUUGGGAGGCCAAGGCAGGUGGAUUGCUUGGGGCCAGGAGUUUGAGUCCAGCCUGGGCAACAUAGCAAGACCCCAUCUCUACAAAACAAAAUAAAAAAAAAAUAGCCAGGCAUGGUGGCAUAUGCCUGUGGUCCCAGGUACUUGGGAAGCUGAGACAGGAGGAUCUCUUGAGUCCAGUAGUUUGAGGCUGCAGUGAGCCGUGAUCACACCACUGCACACCAGCCUGGGCAACAGAGCAAGACACUGUCCACCCACCAAAAAAAUGAACAAACGAAACUCUGUAAAUCUGUUUUUCUCAUCAAUAAAACAGAUAAUACUUCUCACAUUGAUAGGAUUAAAUCA